UACGUAGGUGGCAAGCGUUGUCCGGAAUUAUUGGGCGUAAAGCGCGCGUAGGCGGUCCUUUAAGUCUGAUGUGAAAGCCCACGGCUCAACCGUGGAAGGUCAUUGGAAACUGGGGGACUUGAGUACAGAAGAGGAAAGCGGAAUUCCACGUGUAGCGGUGAAAUGCGUAGAGAUGUGGAGGAACACCAGUGGCGAAGGCGGCAUUCUGGACUGGAACUGACGCUGAGGCGCGAAAGCGAGGGGAGCAAACAGG
rnacentral:rRNA from 1 species